rnacentral:rRNA from 1 species
AUUGAACGCUGGCGGCAUGCCUUACACAUGCAAGUCGAACGGUAACAGGUCUUCGGCUGCUGCCGAGUGGCGAACGGGUGAGUAAUACAUCGGAACGUGCCCGAUCGUGGGGGAUAACGAGGCGAAAGCUUUGCUAAUACCGCAUACGAUCUACGACUGAAAGCGGGGGAACUUCGGACCUCGCGCGGCCGGAGCGGCCGAUGGCAGAUUAGGUAGUUGGUGGGAUAAAAGCUUACCAAGCCGACGAUCUGUAGCUGGUCUGAGAGGAUGAUCAGCCACACUGGGACUGAGACACGGCCCAGACUCCUACGGGAGGCAGCAGUGGGGAAUUUUGGACAAUGGGCGAAAGCCUGAUCCAGCCAUGCCGCGUGCAGGAUGAAGGCCUUCGGGUUGUAAACUGCUUUUGUACGGAACGAAAAGCCUCUUUCUAAUAAAGAGGGGUCAUGACGGUACCGUAAGAAUAAGCACCGGCUAACUACGUG